GAUGAACGCUGGCGGCGUGCCUAAUACAUGCAAGUCGAGCGAACAGACGAGGAGCUUGCUCCUCUGACGUUAGCGGCGGACGGGUGAGUAACACGUGGAUAACCUACCUAUAAGACUGGGAUAACUUCGGGAAACCGGAGCUAAUACCGGAUAAUAUAUUGAACCGCAUGGUUCAAUAGUGAAAGACGGUUUUGCUGUCACUUAUAGAUGGAUCCGCGCCGCAUUAGCUAGUUGGUAAGGUAACGGCUUACCAGGGCAACGAUGCGUAGCCGACCUGAGAGGGUGAUCGGCCACACUGGAACUGAGACACGGUCCAGACUCCUACGGGAGGCAGCAGUAGGGAAUCUUCCGCAAUGGGCGAAAGCCUGACGGAGCAACGCCGCGUGAGUGAUGAAGGUCUUCGGAUCGUAAAACUCUGUUAUUAGGGAAGAACAAAUGUGAAAGUAACUAUGCACGUCUUGACGGUACCUAAUCAGAAAGCCACGGCUAACUACGUG
rnacentral:rRNA from 1 species